GAUGAAGAACGUAGCGAAAUGCGAUACUUGGUGUGAAUUGCAGAAUCCCGUGAACCAUCGAGUUUUUGAACGCAAGUUGCGCCCGAAGCCACUAGGCCGAGGGCACGCCUGCCUGGGCGUCACACGCCGUUGCCCCCCCAUCUACUCCUUCGGGAUUGCGGGGGGGCGGAUGAUGGCCUCCCGUGCGCCUAGCCGCGCGGUUGGCAUAAAUACCAAGUCCUCGGCGACGCACGCCACGACAAUCGGUGGUUGCGAAACCUCGGUUGCCCGUCGUGUGCGUUCGUCGCGCAUCGAGGGCUCGAAAAAAUGCUCGGCUCCGGCUGGGCUUUCAACGCGACCCCAGGUCAGGCGGGGUUACCCGCUGAAUUUAAGCAUAUCAAUAAGCGGAGGA
rnacentral:misc_RNA from 1 species